CGUCGGACGAGCAGGAGGCCAGGGCUGCGUGGUGCUCUCUGGCAAGCUCAGCGGGCUGAAGUGUGCUGUCUUCGCUGAUAUGUCCACGAAGAGGAGGAUUCCUAGGAUCCGUGGCAAUUCCCCAGAAGGACUCUGCUAGAUCUGCCUGCGUCAUAUGCCCAUUACUGAGAAACCUCAUAUUCAGGCAUGGGGUACCCUAAUUGGCAAAGAUGGCACUAUGUGGUGACCAGACAGAUUCAUUGCUUCCUGGACACAGGAGAAGACUACAUUUCCCAGGCUCUCUGCUCAUAAGUGGUGGUUGCACAGGUCUAACCAAGAACCCCAGAGAAACCCUACAGAACAGCGAAGACACUAAAAGGAAGAAGCUGUGUCUCUGAAUUUCUGCUUAUAGGAGAGCUUCCCGUGUCCUGCCCCUGUCUUCCAAAACCCUCAUCAAGUUAUGGGACCACUAAGAAAUAAACUUACUGUGUUAAACCGCU